CAACAUUUCUCCGCUUGUGGGUUGGAUGGUUGCCUUGCUGCUCUGCAUUGCAACUCCUCCUCCAUCCAGUUGCUUCUUCAGUUCUUGUGACCUGAUAAAUUCUUCAAUUCUUGCUUUCAAUUCUUCGUUCGGUAUUAGCAUGUCAGAAGUCAGAUGAGACCGGUUGAAUGGGUCAGUGCUAUCGCUGAGGAGAUGUCUUUGAAUGACGGGUCUGUCAACUGUGAUCCUUGAAGAAGGUAAGAUCACAG
rnacentral:misc_RNA from 1 species